UACAGAGGUCUCGAGCGUUGUUCGGAUUCAUUUGGGCUUAAAGGGCGCGUAGGCGGGCUGCCAAGUCCGGGGUGAAAUCUUUCGGCCUAACCGGAAAAGUGCCUUGGAUACUGGCGGCCUGGAGGGAGGUAGGGGCACGCGGAACUUCCGGUGGAGCGGUGAAAUGCGUAGAUAUCGGAAGGAACGCCGGUGGCGAAAGCGGCGUGCUGGACCUCUUCUGACGCUGAGGCGCGAAAGCCAGGGGAGCAAAGCGGGG
rnacentral:rRNA from 1 species